UCUAAUAGAAAUCUUUUUAAGCCUAAGCAGUACAAUGACUAAUAUCAUUAAAACUUAAAAAUUGUGGCGGCAGCUUAAACACUCAGGGGAACUUACCAUGUAAUUGACAACCAACAAGAGGUCCUCACCUGCUUUCAUAAUUAGUAUACCGCCGUCUUUAAACUCUCUUAAGGGGAGCUUAAAAGAAUAUACCAUUAAAAAGACAGGUCAUGGUGCUGUAAAUGGCCAGGAAUAUAAGGUGAGUUACAAUACCCAAGACUAGUACAGAUUAAAAUCUUAAAAUUUUUAUGAAGGAGGACUUGAUUGUAAGGCAUAUUUCUUUGCUUAUUAUAACUUACUAAUAUAAACAAUUAAGGCUUGAAAAAGAAUUAGGCUGUGC
rnacentral:rRNA from 1 species